GCAGCAGCAGCAGCAGUCAGACCAGGACCACCAGCCACAGUGGGCUGACACUGUUGAUGCUGAGGUGUCAAGAUGAUUUGCACCAUAUAACGCAAGGUCAAGGCUACAACAAAGGCAGCCAAGACCUCCCCGAAGAAACAACACAGCUGCGUCAUAUGCACAUACCUUCUGCUGUCUUGCCAACAAGAAUGCAAUAGUUAUACCGAAAAAGAGUGUCUCCAGAGGGCAGGGUUGGGUGAGAGGCACUUGUGCUUCCGAGACUUCCUGCUAGAAGCAUAUUCCAAAUUAAGGGAUGCUGGAGGAUUUGAAUUGUUGAGAAUUGGUGACACGUCAAGAUCUCAACAGCUGGUGCCUCUCCUGUCUUAAUGAGGGCUACACUGUACAGUACCUGAAAGACAAAAAUCCACCAGGCAAAUCCACCAGGCAACAGUUUACGUCCGCCCUCUCCAAUGCACUUUUAGCAUGGAGCAGGUAUGAAUUGAUUUCAUGAUUUAUAUUGUUUGUUAUCUUUUAGAUGGAACAGUAUUACACUGUAGAUACAGUAUUACAGGAGUAUGCUUAAUUGAAAUUUGGCGUUAUGAUGUAAACAAACUGCUCAUGUUGCUAUUGCACUCCUAUAAGUUAAAUGUCAAAAUCCCCUUUCUUGUCAGAUGAUUUCCCUAUAGUUUCAUAGGAGCGUGUUCACAUAUUCCAUGUAAUGCGUUUAUUAUUUCACUGAUAUUUAAUUAUGUUUUCAAAGGCAUUGCUUACACAUGCAUUUCGUGUCAUGUCUUUGAAUCUCCAGUAAAGUGAUGGUGGAGAGUCAAGGAAUAACCUUGGAUCCCUGACUCCUUGUCAAAAAUUAACCCUUCGAAUAUUUUGAAUGAACCCUGAAUAUAUUGGAUGAAACUCUGAAUAUAUUGAAUGAAACUUCGAAUAUAUUGAAGAUAUUCAAGAAAAGUGUUAGCCUUCUGAAUUCACUGGCUUUACAAAAUGGCAUCAACUUGAAUUUUUUCCAGUAUUUUAAUGAACUGGGAAACUUUUUUGCUAGUGGUUGUACUACAAAUGACAAUAACAGUUUGGAGACUAUUUCGCGUCACCUUGAGGAUCAUAUGUCCAUUAUUGUGACAUUCAUAGUGCUUGUGAGUAAUAUUGUUCCUCAAAACAUUGCUGAAA